CCAUCCUCCAAGGCUAAAUACUCCUGACUGACCGAUAGUGAACCAGUACCGUGAGGGAAAGGCGAAAAGAACCCCGGCGAGGGGAGUGAAAAAGAACCUGAAACCGUGUACGUACAAGCAGUGGGAGCACGCUUAGGCGUGUGACUGCGUACCUUUUGUAUAAUGGGUCAGCGACUUAUAUUCUGUAGCAAGGUUAACCGAAUAGGGGAGCCGAAGGGAAACCGAGUCUUAACUGGGCGUUAAGUUGCAGGGUAUAGACCCGAAACCCGGUGAUCUAGCCAUGGGCAGGUUGAAGGUUGGGUAACACUAACUGGAGGACCGAACCGACUAAUGUUGAAAAAUUAGCGGAUGACUUGUGGCUGGGGGUGAAAGGCCAAUCAAACCGGGAGAUAGCUGGUUCUCCCCGAAAGCUAUUUAGGUAGCGCCUCGUGAAUUCAUCUCCGGGGGUAGAGCACUGUUUCGGCAAGGGGGUCAUCCCGACUUACCAACCCGAUGCAAACUGCGAAUACCGGAGAAUGUUAUCACGGGAGACACACGGCGGGUGCUAACGUCCGUCGUGAAGAGGGAAACAACCCAGACCGCCAGCUAAGGUCCCAAAGUCAUGGUUAAGUGGGAAACGAUGUGGGAAGGCCCAGACAGCCAGGAUGUUGGCUUAGAAGCAGCCAUCAUUUAAAGAAAGCGUAAUAGCUCACUGGUCGAGUCGGCCUGCGCGGAAGAUGUAACGGGGCUAAACCAUGCACCGAAGCUGCGGCAGCGACGCUUAUGCGUUGUUGGGUAGGGGAGCGUUCUGUAAGCCUGCGAAGGUGUGCUGUGAGGCAUGCUGGAGGUAUCAGAAGUGCGAAUGCUGACAUAAGUAACGAUAAAGCGGGUGAAAAGCCCGCUCGCCGGAAGACCAAGGGUUCCUGUCCAACGUUAAUCGGGGCAGGGUGAGUCGACCCCUAAGGCGAGGCCGAAAGGCGUAGUCGAUGGGAAACAGGUUAAUAUUCCUGUACUUGGUGUUACUGCGAAGGGGGGACGGAGAAGGCUAUGUUGGCCGGGCGACGGUUGUCCCGGUUUAAGCGUGUAGGCUGGUUUUCCAGGCAAAUCCGGAAAAUCAAGGCUGAGGCGUGAUGACGAGGCACUACGGUGCUGAAGCAACAAAUGCCCUGCUUCCAGGAAAAGCCUCUAAGCAUCAGGUAACAUCAAAUCGUACCCCAAACCGACACAGGUGGUCAGGUAGAGAAUACCAAGGCGCUUGAGAGAACUCGGGUGAAGGAACUAGGCAAAAUGGUGCCGUAACUUCGGGAGAAGGCACGCUGAUAUGUAGGUGAAGUCCCUUGCGGAUGGAGCUGAAAUCAGUCGAAGAUACCAGCUGGCUGCAACUGUUUAUUAAAAACACAGCACUGUGCAAACACGAAAGUGGACGUAUACGGUGUGACGCCUGCCCGGUGCCGGAAGGUUAAUUGAUGGGGUCAGCGCAAGCGAAGCUCUUGAUCGAAGCCCCGGUAAACGGCGGCCGUAACUAUAACGGUCCUAAGGUAGCGAAAUUCCUUGUCGGGUAAGUUCCGACCUGCACGAAUGGCGUAAUGAUGGCCAGGCUGUCUCCACCCGAGACUCAGUGAAAUUGAACUCGCUGUGAAGAUGCAGUGUACCCGCGGCAAGACGGAAAGACCCCGUGAACCUUUACUAUAGCUUGACACUGAACAUUGAGCCUUGAUGUGUAGGAUAGGUGGGAGGCUUUGAAGUGUGGACGCCAGUCUGCAUGGAG
rnacentral:rRNA from 1 species